CAGUAGCCACGGGAAUACGUAGGGUGCAAGCGUUAAUCGGAAUUACUGGGCGUAAAGCGUGCGCAGGCGGUUUGUUAAGACAGAUGUGAAAUCCCCGGGCUCAACCUGGGAGCUGCAUUUGUGACUGGCAAGCUAGAGUGUGGCAGAGGGGGGUGGAAUUCCGCGUGUAGCAGUGAAAUGCGUAGAUAUGCGGAGGAACACCGAUGGCGAAGGCAGCCCCCUGGGCCAACACUGACGCUCAUGCACGAAAGCGUGGGGAGCAAACAGGAUUAGAUACCCCAGUAGUCCCUGUCUCUUAUAC
rnacentral:rRNA from 1 species